CAGUAGCCGCGGUAAUACGAAGGGUGCAAGCGUUAAUCGGAAUUACUGGGCGUAAAGGGUGCGUAGGCGGUUGUUUAAGUCUGUUGUGAAAUCCCCGGGCUCAACCUGGGAAUGGCAAUGGAAACUGGACGGCUAGAGUGUGUCAGAGGAUGGUGGAAUUCCCGGUGUAGCGGUGAAGUGCGUAGAGAUCGGGAGGAACAUCAGUGGCGAAGGCGGCCAUCUGGGACAACACUGACGCUGAAGCACGAAAGCGUGGGGAGCAAACAGGAUUAGAUACCCCGGUAGUCCCUGUCUCUUAUAC
rnacentral:rRNA from 1 species